UCCACAAUACCAAAUGCUCCGCUUAUUAUUGGUUUUAAACCGUACGCGAAUGUUUUGUGAAGCAAAGACAUGAAAUCGACUUGGAUUAGUGAUAGGUCGUUCGCGAACGCCGGCUCUAAGAGCCGAUUCUUUGUAGCGAACGAGCAGAGCCGAAGCUUCAGACGCAUGCAGGGGAGCCGGCUCCUCUACGGGAGCCGAGCCAGAAGAACCGAAUCUAUGAAAAGAGCCGGACUGCCAUCACUAAAAUGUAGAGCCGGAGCUUGAGCCGAAAGAGCCGAAUCAAUGGAAAGAGCCGGACUGCCCAUCACUAAUUUGGAUGAACGGCUAUUGCUCGCGGAAAUUUCGCACAUUAAAUACGGCGUGUAUGCAAUGCAUGACAUGCUGCAAACAGGCGAAUGACGCGGUCUAAUGUUUGCGUGUUUAAUUGGAAUAAGGAGUGCGCAAAGUAUACGAGCUUCAUCUGAACUGUCCCUUUCAGUGUUUCCCAUAAACAUCAAUAAUAUAAGGUACCAUUUAUUCAUGUAACAGGUUCUUGCAACGUCCUAUACCUGCUACGGUACUACAACGCAAGUUGCUUAAUGCCUGACAGUUAUUCAUGCAAACUGUUCAUAUCAAAUGCAAAUAUUUACGUUAGAUCUUCACUCACCUGACCCUAAUUACAGACUUUAAGGAUACGGGGAUACGCUAUUUUACGAACUUUAAAUCUCAUGGUAGGACACACCAUUAAUAUAUCAUUGGAGAAUAAAUCCUGGUCAUACAGCGUAAAGUUUUCAAGCACACAUUUUGUUGCUGAGCAAAUCGUAAGUGUGUGUGGUGGAAUGGCAACAGUAAUGCAUAGUGUCAAUUUUAUUGAGCACGGGGUUCAGCAUAAAUGUUUCCAUCUAAAGCUUUGUGCUUUAAGAUCUUCAGUUAGUUAUGCACAUGUAUAAAGUACGAAUGCAUCAACUUUUAAUUGUACUUUUCAAAUGAGACUUUAUUCCAGAUCUCAGUCAACUUCUUAUCCGAGCUCGGUCGCAUUGAACAUCUCAUCUAUUUAUCUGGAUUAUUUUCUCCUAAGGAUUUUUGCACUCUGACAAGAUUGUAGCAGCAAACGCAUUGUGCGGUGAUCAUGCUGAAUUUCUGACACUGUCAGAAAACUAUUGUAGGCUAUCUUGGACGCAAGACCAGGAAAACGUCCGUCUUUGAACUUCUCCCACCAUACGACACUGUACCACCGACGAAGAGCCACGAUCAUAGAAAUCGUGAUGAUUGUUUUACGAUGGAAAUCUUUCUUCUGGGAAAGCCAAAAAUUAUGCAGUUAUAAUUCUAAAUGAUAACUUUACAAGGAACUUUGUCUGGAAUUAGAAGCGUACAAUCUUCUUACUCUGCAUCCUCAAGAAAAUAGCGAAACCUGCAUCAACUUUACAUACAACCACAUUACACCGGCUGCUAGGAUUUAGAACAUCAUAACAGCGCGGCUGCUUACAUGAAGCAAGCUAUUUUUAAACUAUAUACAUGUUUUUACACAGACUAUGGAUAUGCAGUUCUAUAAGUGCUUUAUUUCAGUGCCUGCAUUACCAUCAGGGCUCUUUAUCGACUUCCAGGAACUCUAAUCGCAUACGGCUGCAAGGAUUUGAACAUGCAUAAUUGCUACAUGUACAAGAAUUGGCUUUCGUUAGCACUGGGCCGUGCACACUUGCCGCGUGCACGCAGGUCGUCACGUUUCACGUCCGCAGUCGUGUAUGGUGCGGUCUUCGAUCGUUUCUGGAUUGCCAGCGUGGCGUAGGAUCUUCAUUAAACAAAUAAUUCAGAACUUCUUAAGUGCAUAUCAUGUAAGACUGUUAGCACAAAACUGUCACGUUUAAUCAUGCUAUUAUGGUUAGUCAAAGUUUAAGCUGUAAACUUUCAUCUAGAUGGCUAUUACUUUCGGAGCACGUCCAUCUAUCAACUGCACAACCCUACUGAUACCGCUCCUCAGUUUUUGGGGGUUCUUAAUUUAUAUCGUAAACGGAGAAUUUUAUAUAAUCAUCUGUGUGUCAUGGCGAAGCAAGCAAGACAAGGCAACGGAUCCAAAUGCAAUGGUUUAUUUCUUAAAAACCCAAAAGUCCACAAAGCAGAACCAGAAUGAAGACCAGAAUACAGGACCAAAAAGUGAUGACAGCAAACUAUACUCAAGAAAGGACAACUGAAACACAAGGACUGUAUUCAUGUGGGUAAACAAGAUAUCAAGACACACCUGGGAAACAAUCUAGAACAAGGACCAACGAACUACAGACAUGGAUGACAUUAAAGAACUUCAAAUAAAGAGUACAAGACAGGGGAAACGCAAGACACAACAGUGACACCGUGCAAUCUUUAGCAUCAGUCAGAUCGUUUGUAACCUCUAAUCUUCUCCCUACUUUUAUAAUGACAAUAUAAAAGCAUGCAUACAUAAAUUGUCUCUCUUCAUCAGGAGCCGCGCUCCUAAUUUCACCGUAUGCAGGAAAACACUAUGACAUUCAAUUCAAUAAUGGCAAGCAAUAAUCAAGGUAUGUUUAAGCAAACUACUGGUGGUGGUGGUGUAUUUAACCAUGCUAAAUCAUGGCCCUUGCCAUUUAUAUCAUUCCUCACUCUGGCAUAACGUUGCAUUCUGUGGCCUUCGCGGCCUCUCUGCUAUCAAGCCUAACGUGGCAUCCUUCUACGGAUAUCCUCUACUGCUGAUAUUAUGAUUGACAUUUACGGACACGUUUAUGGUAUGUACCUUUUGUCAAUACUGGUGGUGGUGAAUCUUAUUGCAAGCUAACCUGUUGGCUUUUCCUACUGGGCAUAUCGUUGCCUUCCACGGCCUAUGCGGCCUAUCUAACCCUGGCAUAUCUUUGCCCUUCAUGGCCUACACAGCCUCUCUCAACACGGCAUAUCGUUGCCUUCUAUGGCCAUGCGGCCUUUCUCACUCGGCAUAUCGUUGCCUUCUAUGGCCUACGCGGCCUAUCUCUAUCUGGCAUAUCGUUGCCUUCUAUGGCCUACGCGGCCUAUCUCUAUCUGGCAUAUAUCUCUAUCUGGCAUAUCGUUGCCUUCUAUGGCCUACGCGGCCUAUUUCUCUGGCAUAUCGUUGCCUUCCAAAGGCCUACGUGGCCUUUUCUCACUAGGCAUAUCGUUGCUUUCUAUGGCCUACGCGGCCUAUCUCUGUCUGGCAUAUCGUUGCCUUCUAAAGCCUACGCGGCAUUUUCCCAUUAGGCAUAUCGUUGCCUUCUGUGGCCUGUGCGGCCUAUCUCUGUCUGGCAUAUCGUUG